GCUAAAAGAUGAUUUUCGAAAAUUGACAAGCAUAUGUCUGAUUCUGCAAGAAGAUACAUUUUCAGUCUGAUAGU
rnacentral:snoRNA from 1 species